rnacentral:rRNA from 1 species
GGGUAGCUAAAUGCGGAAGAGAUAAGUGCUGAAAGCAUCUAAGCACGAAACUUGCCAAGAGAUGAGUCAUCCCUGACUUUAAGUCAGUAAGGGUUGUUGUAGACUACGACGUAGAUAGGUCUGGUGUGUAAGUGUAGUGAUACAUUGAGCUAACAGAUACUAAUUGCCCGAGAGGCUUAGCUAUACAACGCUCAAG